rnacentral:rRNA from 1 species
GUGGAGAGCGGCGGACGGGUGAGUAACGCGUAGGCAACCUGCCCUUUACACAGGGAUAGCCACUGGAAACGGUGAUUAAAACCUGAUGAUACCAUGAACUCACAUGUUUUCAUGGUCAAAGAUUUAUCGGUAAGGGAUGGGCCUGCGUCUGAUUAGCUAGUUGGUGAGGUAACGGCCCACCAAGGCAACGAUCAGUAGCCGACCUGAGAGGGUGAUCGGCCACAUUGGAACUGAGACACGGUCCAAACUCCUACGGGAGGCAGCAGUGGGGAAUAUUGCACAAUGGGCGAAAGCCUGAUGCAGCAACGCCGCGUGAAGGAUGAAGGCCUUCGGGUUGUAAACUUCUGUCCUUGGGGAAGAUAAUGACGGUACCCUUGGAGGAAGCCCCGGCUAACUACGUGCCAGCAGCCGCGGUAAUACGUAGGGGGCGAGCGUUAUCCGGAAUUAUUGGGCGUAAAGAGUGCGUAGGUGGUUACCUAAGCAGGGGGUGAAAGGCAUUGGCCUAACCAAUGUUAGCCCCCUGAACUGGGCUACUUGAGUGCAGGAGGGGAAAGUGGAAUUCCUAGUGUAGCGGUGAAAUGCGUAGAUAUUAGGAGGAACACCAGUGGCGAAGGCGACUUUCUGGACUGUUACUGACACUGAGGCACGAAAGUGUGGGGAGCAAACAGGAUUAGAUACCCUGGUAGUCCACACCGUAAACGAUGAGCACUAGGUGUCGGGUAUUAAUACUCGGUGCCGCAGUUAACGCAUUAAGUGCUCCGCCUGGGGAGUACGUACGCAAGUAUGAAACUCAAAGGAAUUGACGGGGACCCGCACAAGCAGCGGAGCAUGUGGUUUAAUUCGAAGCAACGCGAAGAACCUUACCAGGUCUUGACAUCUCCUUGAAACUCCUGAUAACGAUGAGCCUC